rnacentral:rRNA from 1 species
UACGGAGGGUCCGAGCGUUAAUCGGAAUUACUGGGCGUAAAGCGUGCGCAGGCGGUUUGUUAAGCGAGAUGUGAAAGCCCUGGGCUCAACCUAGGAAUAGCAUUUCGAACUGGCGAACUAGAGUCUUGUAGAGGGGGGUAGAAUUCCAGGUGUAGCGGUGAAAUGCGUAGAGAUCUGGAGGAAUACCGGUGGCGAAGGCGGCCCCCUGGACAAAGACUGACGCUCAUGCACGAAAGCGUGGGGAGCAAACAGGAUUAGAUACCCUGGUAGUCCACGCCGUAAACGAUGUCUACUCGGAGUUUGGUGUCUUGAACACUGGGCUCUCAAGCUAACGCAUUAAGUAGACCGCCUGGGGAGUACGGCCGCAAGGUUA